rnacentral:piRNA from 1 species
UAUACGCUGCUGGAGUUGGGCCACGUAU